rnacentral:lncRNA from 1 species
AAAGUUCGAAGAAGAUUUUGAUUUUAUGGCCAUGAAUGAGAAGUUCAAGAAAGAUGAAGUAUGGGGCCAUCUUGGCAAAAGUAACAGAGAAGGAGAUGGAAAUGACAGUGAUGAGGAUAUCUCUUACAACGAAUAUGAGGAUGAUCUUCCUAAGAUUGAUGUCCAGGUAUUUACUUAAAUUCUCUUCGACCUCAAUUCUAAUGCAUACCCUUGACCAUGAAUUUUGGUACUAGUUUUGUGUGUUGUGUUUAAUCUACCUUUUCUUUCCUGCAGCCUGUUUACAAUAAGGAUGACUUUUUCGACUCUUUGUCAAGUAAUGCACUUGACCAUGACUCAAAUCAUGGAAGGACCAGGUUCUCCGAGCAAAGGAAGAUAGAUGUUGAGGUAUAUCUGAUUCUUAUGCUCUACUUUCCCAAGUAUGGUUCUUCUUCAAGAAACUAAUCUUGUUUGAUGGGUGCAGACAUUCGGAGAUUUCUCAAGAUACAGGGGCGGCCGGGGUGGUCGUGGUCCUGGACGUGGUGGACGUUCUCGAGGUUCAUAUUAUGGAAGAGGUGGAGGUGGAUAUGGAUAUGGAUAUGGAAACGGAAACGGGAAUGGAAAUGGAUAUGGUUAUGGUUAUGGUGGUGGUAGGGGCAGAGGCCGUGGUGUGCCAUCCCGUACUUUGUAAAAGCAUAGGUGUAUUAUCAAGGUUGAGCUAGAAGCAAAUAUCUGCCUCUUUU